rnacentral:rRNA from 1 species
AGCGAACGCUGGCGGCAGGCCUAACACAUGCAAGUCGAACGAACCUUUCGGGGUUAGUGGCGGACGGGUGAGUAACACGUGGGAACGUGCCUUUAGGUUCGGAAUAACUCAGGGAAACUUGUGCUAAUACCGAAUGUGCCCUUCGGGGGAAAGAUUUAUCGCCUUUAGAGCGGCCCGCGUCUGAUUAGCUAGUUGGUUGAGGUAAUGGCUCACCAAGGCGACGAUCAGUAGCUGGUCUGAGAGGAUGAUCAGCCACAUUGGGACUGAGACACGGCCCAAACCCGGCGGGGGGGCGGCGGGGGGGAAUCUGGCGAAGGGGGGAAAGGCCUGACACUCCUUGCCCGGGGGAAGAAUGAGGGUUUUGGGUUUGAAAAUUUUUUUCCCCGGGGAGGAUAAGGAGGGCCCCGGGAAAAGAGCCCCGCCCAACUUUCGUC